AUACGUAGGGGGCGAGCGUUGUCCGGAAUGAUUGGGCGUAAAGGGCGCGUAGGCGGCCCGGUAAGUCUGGAGUGAAAGUCCUGUUUUUAAGAUGGGAAUUGCUUUGGAUACUGUCGGGCUUGAGUGCAGGAGAGGUAAGUGGAAUUCCCAGUGUAGCGGUGAAAUGCGUAGAGAUUGGGAGGAACACCAGUGGCGAAGGCGACUUACUGGACUGUAACUGACGCUGAGGCGCGAAAGUGUGGGGAGCAAACAGGAUUAGAUACCCUGGUAGUCCACACCGUAAACGAUGAAUGCUAGGUGUAGGGGGUAUCGACCCCUUCUGUGCCGCAGUCAACACAAUAAGCAUUCCGCCUGGGGAGUACGGCCGCAAGGUUGAAACUUAAAUGAAUUGACGGGG
rnacentral:rRNA from 1 species